rnacentral:rRNA from 1 species
GAUGAACGCUGGCGGCGUGCCUAAUACAUGCAAGUCGAGCGAACAGACGAGGAGCUUGCUCCUUUGACGUUAGCGGCGGACGGGUGAGUAACACGUAGGUAACCUACCUAUAAGACUGGGAUAACUUCGGGAAACCGGAGCUAAUACCGGAUAAUAUUUCGAACCGCAUGGUUCGAUAGUGAAAGAUGGUUUUGCUGUCACUUAUAGAUGGAUCCGCGCCGCAUUAGCUAGUUGGUAAGGUAACGGCUUACCAAGGCAACGAUACGUAGCCGACCUGAGAGGGUGAUCGGCCACACUGGAACUGAGACACGGUCCAGACUCCUACGGGAGGCAGCAGUAGGGAAUCUUCCGCAAUGGGCGAAAGCCUGACGGAGCAACGCCGCGUGAGUGAUGAAGGUCUUCGGAUCGUAAAACUCUGUUAUUAGGGAAGAACAAAUGUGUAAGUAACUGUGCACGUCUUGACGGUACCUAAUCAGAAAGCCACGGCUAACUACGUG